GGCUUGUUCCUCAACGUGGUGGCACCUGUCCAAGGUAGGACCUGAUGGGAAGUCACAAGAAGCCCCAAAAGGAUUAAGCAAACGAGAGGACAAACUGAGGCAUGCCCAUGCAGUGGGCCCCUAAUCUCACUUGCACGGAACCAGGUGUAAAUCUGGGGAACGGCGCGGGUGAAGGACUUGUGCGCAGCCACUUUCUGCAGUUCCAGACAUCUCCGACAGCAAAAUCACAAGUUGUUCCAGGAACAACCUCAGAGGCCAGAGUGAGGGAGAAGUAGGAGGACUCAUGAAUGUUUCACACCACGUGUCUUCUCAACGACGGUGAUUUACGGUUGGGGCUGCUUUUUUUUUUUUUAAC